rnacentral:rRNA from 1 species
GGUAUAAACCCGGGAAACUGGGUAUAAUCCCCGAUAGAUCUCGGUCGCUGGAAUGCCCCGAGAUCGAAAGCUCCGGCGCCAGAGGAUGGGUCUGCGGCCUAUCAGGUAGUAGUGGGUGUAGCGUACCUACUAGCCUACGACGGGUACGGGUUGUGAGAGCAAGAGCCCGGAGAUGGAUUCUGAGACACGAAUCCAGGCCCUACGGGGUGCAGCAGGCGCGAAAACUUUACAAUGCCGGCAACGGCGAUAAGGGGACCUCGAGUGCCAGGUUACAAAUCUGGCUGUCGUGAUGCCUAAAAAGCCUUGCAUA